GGGGUUGACUGGUUUCGACAGCAAGACCAAUGGGUAAGUAAGCAUGCAGAGAACCGUAGCGCGAUCUCUUUAAUCCCUUGCUACAGAAUUUAACUGGCAACGAAGAGUUUGCUCUUGCUGCUUAAUCCGAAGCUUAGUAGGAUUGGCGUUUUUCCCGAAGUAUAGUAAGGAAACAAGAUGUCUCCCGAAAGUUCUGUUCUGCGACGUUCGAUUCCGAGGCAUAGAAAAUGCGGAAAUAAGUCCCGAAAAACUUCGGUUCGGGAACGAAAAUUUUAGAAGAUAAGCGUAAAGUUGGCUGUUUGCUGUCUGCUUUACGACGAAAACCAAUAGCAAAAUAAGCAUGUAGAAAGCUUGCGUAUUGCUUGUUUGGACGAGGGUUCGAAUCCCUCCAACUCCACAA
rfam:Cloacibacterium normanense strain NRS-1 CloNor.contig.142_1, whole genome shotgun sequence.